AACGAACGCUGGCGGCAGGCUUAACACAUGCAAGUCGAACGCAUCCUUCGGGGUGAGUGGCAGACGGGUGAGUAACGCGUGGGAACGUGCCCUUCAGUUCGGGAUAACCCAGGGAAACUUGGGCUAAUACCGGAUACGUGCGAGAGCAGAAAGAUUUAUCGCUGAAGGAUCGGCCCGCGUCUGAUUAGCUAGUUGGUGAGGUAAUGGCUCACCAAGGCGACGAUCCUUAGCUGGUCUGAGAGUAUGAUCAGCACACACUGGGACUGAGACACGACCCAGACUCCUACGGGAGGCAGCAGUGGGGAAUAUUGGACAAUGGGCGAAAGCCUGAUCCAGCCAUGCCGCGUGAGUGAUGAAGGCCUUAGGGUUGUAAAGCUCUUUCGCCAGGGAAGAUAAUGACGGUACCUGGAAAAGAAGCCUCGGCUAACUCCGUGCCAGCCGCCGCAGUAA
rnacentral:rRNA from 1 species